UACGUAGGGGGCAAGCGUUGUCCGGAAUCAUUGGGCGUAAAGCGCACGUAGGCGGAUUGCUAAGUCAGGGGUGAAAUCCUGGAGCUCAACUCCAGAACUGCCUUUGAUACUGGCGAUCUCGAGUCCGGGAGAGGUGAGUGGAACUGCGAGUGUAGAGGUGAAAUUCGUAGAUAUUCGCAAGAACACCAGUGGCGAAGGCGGCUCACUGGCCCGGUACUGACGCUGAGGUGCGAAAGCGUGGGGAGCAAACAGG
rnacentral:rRNA from 1 species